CUGACCCCUGAGCCCUCUGAGGGCUGGAACAGCUGUGAGUGGGACUGGGAGCCAAGGUCUCACUCCAGAACACUGUGACAGCAGCACAGUGUCCCUCAGCUCUGCCGAGUGCCACCAUCCCGUCCUGCUGUCAUUGCAGAGCUGUUAUCUACUUCAACAUCCAGAUGGUGAGAGGCCUCCAGAGGGUCAUCUGCCUGCUCCAGAAGCAGAUUGCCAACGAAGGGGAAGAUAAGGGAUUUCUCAUUCAGAAGCUUCAUUCUAUUUACAAGCAGAGAGACAGCCAUUCCUGAAUCCCAGGGCACAGCUCCAUGCAGGACUGCCUCACCAGCACAGCCAUUCUCCGUGGGAGCUCACUGCUUGCAGAGAACAUCUCUUCGACUCUCUGUCCCGCCAACACACCUUGGGCUGUUUUCAGAAUCCUCUGGAGACCUUGGAGCUUUCUCCACAACCCCCUUCCCACUGCCAAGGGGCAGCAAGCACGGAGCCAGGAGCUGUAACAGCCGUGACCCCGCUCCAGCCCAGUGCCUGGCUCAGCAGGACAGCAGCUAGCCAGUCCCAGUCCCAGUCCCAGUCCCACAAACAGGUCACUGGGCCACCCGUGGCAGCCCUGCAGUGCUGCUG
rnacentral:lncRNA from 1 species